ACGUGGACCACACCUCAAGGCGGCCUGUUCUUCUGGUUCAAAGUGGCUGAUAUGGACAUUACCUCUGACUUUAUAAACAUUCUCAGAGACAGAGGCUUGUCUGUAAUGGCUGGUCAUUAUUUUUUCCAUGGAGGAGGAAAAAGUUCUGGGAUCCGAGCCUCCUACUCAAAUGUCCCAGAGGAGGAUAUUGAGAAGGGAUUCAAGUGUCUUGCAGAUGUGAUUCGAGAGCAGAAAGGUGUUGAGUCAUGAAAUAUACAGGACUCAAGAGGUGGCCAAAAGUGAUGAAACUGAGAGCCAAAAGGACAAAAGGUCAAGAGCGCAGAGGUCAAAGCACGUCUGUUUUUCUGUAUGCAGUUAUUGUUUCAGAAGAUGAACUUCAGUUUCUUUUAUUAUGACAUGUUGACUCUUUGAAUUCGUUCAUUGUAAACAGAAGAAUAUUAAACAUGUAUAGGCUACUGAUCA